UUAACCCAACUCAAAAACCGCCGUUUUAACCAGGUAAUUGUGGCGGUUUUUCGAAAACCGCCGUAAUAACCAAAUGGCGCUUCAAAUUAUGGCGGUUUUUCUUGAGCGCCAUUCAAGGUAAUAAUGGCGGUUCAAACCGCCGUAAUAACCCUAAAAAACCGCCGUAAUUACCAAGUUUUUUUGUAGUGUCUCCGGUCUUUCUUCUCCAGGAAAUUAUUAACAUUGAUGAUAAUAUAACUUUUUUUUAAACAUUUCUUAUAUUCUUUUGAGCUAAUUUAUAUUUAAUAUUCUUUUGAUUUUAAACUAUUCUUUUAUUGUGAUGACAACCAAUUAGUUAUUCGAAUUUCAUUUGUUGACCAUACCAUACAUUGAGUUUCUGACAACAUGGAUAGCCUCAACUCUUACUAUCAAGGACGAUACUUUUAUAUGGAGGUCAACCCCAACUUAGAGAUGGGUGAAAUUCCUUCGACAUUCUAUAGGAGAUUUAAGGAUGCACUACCAAACUUGAUGACAUUUUAUGAUUCUACUAGCAAUGAAGUUGAUGUGGUCAUUGAGAAGUUCAUUGAACUGCUAUAAUUGUUACCGGCUACAAUAACCUUGCCGCGAUUUAUGGCCUCAAAGAAUGGAAGUUGGUUGAGUGUCUGCUACGUUGGCCAAGACAAAUUCCUCAUUGUUGAAGUGAAGGACCACAACAUGCGAACCAAAGAGCUGUGCACCCACCGUUGAAGCUGAGUGUGGACAUCAAAUCAUCAAUACCUGUUUCGGGGAAUCAUAGAACUAUCUGAUGAUGAGACUAAUGCGACUCCGCGGCUUGAAACUUCUGAACCUAUCCAAGUUUCACAUAUAGUAUACCAAUAACCUGAUGUAGCUAUGGAUAAUUCCAAGUGGGAUGAUGCCAUUGACCAACUCCAACAUCUUCCAGAAUCUGUGUUGAAUCUAUUGACCUGCAUUGACCCUUCCACAUAUUAUGGUCUCGAACCUUACUUUAAUAACUUGGAACCCAUUGUCAACAACGAGGAUCAACAUGACCAAUUGGAUCCAACAAGACCAUUAAUUUUGCUUCCUGCAUUCCUGGCAUCUCCAUUUUUAGAUGUCCCACAGACAAAAAAUAUAUCCUCUGCAGUGACCAAGGAAACAGGUGAUAAUUGUAACAUUAGUGCUGAUAUUGUUUCAACUAAAAAUGCAGGGUUUCCAAAUGGUCACAGCCCUCCACCACCGAAUCCUAACAAUGGCCUUUCGCCACCAUGUUUUCCAAUCAUGCAAGACUUUUAUUCGGUUGUCAGGGUGAUAUCUGAGUACUAGUCAAAACACUAUUCUAUGCUACUUUCAUAUGCUUUCUCUUUGCUUGCGUUUCCUUCGAGGCCUGAUUUUGUUCGCGUUAGAGGGUUACACAAGCCACCAAUCAUCAUGAAACUUCGAUGGAGGAGCCUUAAGUCAUCAGAAGCCUUUCUUACCAGGGGUUGGAGAAAAUUUUCAGUCGACCAUGACCUAAAGUGUGGAAGUGUAGUUCGUUUCUGCAUUCCCAUUAAUAAAAAAAUUAAAAGUAUUUUAAUCAACCAAUUAUGUGAAAUUGAAUUUAGCAAGUACAUAUGCAGCAUGAUAAGAAUCGUAAGAAUUUUUGUUAUUUCAAUGUACAAUAAACUGAUGAUUUUUGCAUCGAGGAU